ACAACUGGUGCAGGGGGUCCAACACUCA
rnacentral:sRNA from 1 species